rnacentral:lncRNA from 1 species
UGUGUGUGUGUGUGUUUGUUUGUUUGUUUGUUUGUUUGUUUGUUUGUGUAAGGGGUCUAUAUUAUUGUGUUACCGGAGAAGUUUCAUGUUUAGUUUGGAAAAGUUUUUUAUUUUGUUUCAGGUCCCGCGCGCGACUCUGGCGCCAGAUUGAGGAGACAUCGCGUGACGCGGGUUUAUAAUAUAAACGAAAACUUAGUAUUUUUAUUUCUUUUUAGGUGGGGAUGUUGAACAGACAACAUGUAUAGAGACGGAAUGCACACAAUGUAAUUUCUUUUGUCAUUGUAUGAAAUUGACAUUUUGAUCACAGUUCACGGGCAGUGCAUGCUUUGGGUUUAAACGAUACGGUGAAACUUUAAAACACGUUUAAUGAUUAUUUUCUUAUAAUGUACAUUUUUCAGCACCAGUUUGUAACACAGAUUAGUAUUUCAAUCUAGG